rnacentral:rRNA from 1 species
CGCCAGACUCCUACGGGAGGCAGCAGUGGGGGAUAUUGCACAAUGGGGGGAACCCUGAUGCAGCGACGCCGCGUGGGUGAAGGAGUAUUUCGGUAUGUAAAGCCCUAUCGGCAGGGAAGAAGCAAGACGGUACCUGACUAAGAAGCCCCGGCUAACUACGUGCCAGCAGCCGCGGUAAUACGUAGGUGGCAAGCGUUAUCCGGAUUUACUGGGUGUAAAGGGAGCGUAGACGGUGAAGCAAGUCUGAAGUGAAAGGCGGGGGCUCAACCCCCGGACUGCUUUGGAAACUGUUUGACUGGAGUGCAGGAGAGGUAAGUGGAAUUCCUAGUGUAGCGGUGAAAUGCGUAGAUAUUAGGAGGAACACCAGUGGCGAAGGCGGCUUACUGGACUGUAACUGACGUUGAGGCUCGAAAGCGUGGGGAGCAAACAGGAUUAGAUACCCUUGUACAG